rnacentral:rRNA from 1 species
AUUGAACGCUGGCGGCAGGCUUAACACAUGCAAGUCGAACGAGUGGCGGACGGGUGAGUAAUGCUUGAGAAUCUAUCUUCUGGAGGGGGAUAACUACGGGAAACUGUAGCUAAUACCGCCUACCAUAGGAUGAGCCCAAGUGGGAUUAGGUAGUUGGUGAGGUAAAGGCUCACCAAGCGGACGAUCUCUAGCUGGUCUGAGAGGAUGACCAGCAACACUGGGACGGAGACACGGCCCAGACUCAUACGGGAGGCAGCAGUGGGGAAUAUUGCGCAAUGGGGGCAACCUGACGCAGCCAUGCCGCGUGAAUGAAGAAGGCCUUCGGGUUGUAAAGUUCUUUCGGUAGCGAGGCGUUAACUACAGAAGAAGCACCGGCUAACUCCGUGCCAGCAGCCGCGGUAAUUC